AUGCAUACGGCUUCUGGAGUUUCUCUAACCAGGAAACCCAGCAGGAGGAAUAUCACAUUUGAAUCAAGCAAAACCCGGAUUGUUGUAUUUGGAUGGGGCUAUAUAGAGGGAUUGGUGAUGCUUAACAUUUAUUAACAACCCGUGGAAGGCUAUGAACAGGGAAGCUGCAGAAUUUGUAUAGCACACUGCAUUAUUUGUCAGUCAAGAACAGAGAAGACUGUGAAGAACCUCAAAAUAGCCUAGGUGAGCAGCAUGAUUAUGGCAAUUUAAAUCAGCAUUGACAAAUCUAAGAUGAGACAUGUUUCAAAGAACAAUUUGAACUACUUAUGCAUCUCCCUGUAUUCUAAAUUAACUCCAACUACCCAAGAAAUAGGUUUAGGCAUCAUUGUGUAUAGCUUAGCAAAGGGAUCUAAUCAUUGAGUGCAGGGAUCAAGAAAACAAAACAGGUGUUUAAUAUGUAGUAAGAACAGGGUAAAGAUUAACACUUAAUACUGUUAUAUUGAUCGGUGGGGUGUGCCCUCAUUUGGAGUGCUGUGUUCAGUUUUGAAUAUCCUGUUUCAAAAAAAAAAAGUGUGAGAGAGAUCUGCAUCUCUGAUGUUAAAUCAAACCCUUGCCUCUGUUUCCCUU
rnacentral:lncRNA from 1 species